rnacentral:rRNA from 1 species
GCGGCCUAUCAGCUUGUUGGUGGGGUAAUGGCCUACCAAGGCGACGACGGGUAGCCGGCCUGAGAGGGUGACCGGCCACACUGGGACUGAGACACGGCCCAGACUCCUACGGGAGGCAGCAGUGGGGAAUAUUGCACAAUGGGCGCAAGCCUGAUGCAGCGACGCCGCGUGAGGGAUGACGGCCUUCGGGUUGUAAACCUCUUUCAGUAGGGAAGAAGCGUAAGUGACGGUACCUGCAGAAGAAGCGCCGGCUAACUACGUGCCAGCAGCCGCGGUAAUACGUAGGGCGCAAGCGUUAUCCGGAAUUAUUGGGCGUAAAGAGCUCGUAGGCGGUUUGUCGCGUCUGCUGUGAAAGACCGGGGCUCAACUCCGGUUCUGCAGUGGGUACGGGCAGACUAGAGUGCAGUAGGGGAGACUGGAAUUCCUGGUGUAGCGGUGAAAUGCGCAGAUAUCAGGAGGAACACCGAUGGCGAAGGCAGGUCUCUGGGCUGUAACUGACGCUGAGGAGCGAAAGCAUGGGGAGCGAACAGGAUUAGAUACCCUGGUAGUCCAUGCCGUAAACGUUGGGCACUAGGUGUGGGGGACAUUCCACGUUUUCCGCGCCGUAGCUAACGCAUUAAGUGCCCCGCC